GAUGAAGAACGUAGCGAAAUGCGAUAAGUAGUGUGAAUUGCAGAAUUCAGUGAAUCAUCGAAUAUUUGAACGCACAUUGCGCCCCUUGGUAUUCCAUGGGGCAUGCCUGUUCGAGCGUCAUUUGUACCUUCAAGCUUUGCUUGGUGUUGGGUGUUUGUCUCGCCUUUGCGUGUAGACUCGCCUUAAAAUAAUUGGCAGCCGGCGUAUUGAUUUCGGAGCGCAGUACAUCUCGCGCUUUGCACUCAUAACGACAGCGUCCAAAAGUACAUUUUACACUCUUGACCUCGGAUCAGGUAGGGAUACCCGCUGAACUUAAGCAUAUCAAUAAGCGGAGGA
rnacentral:misc_RNA from 1 species